CAUCUUUGAAACCCUCUCAUUUCCCCCAUUCCUCUGUUUCAUGUUCCUUCCGACAAACCCUGGAAAUGCUCCACAACAUUGGAUUCACAACUACAUUCUCGGCUUCAUUCAGGGUGACCAUUGUCGCAAGCACCACUCACAAGCGCCACUCUCACAAGGGCUUUCUCCUUUUCUCUCUAGCACCGAUUGGGAUUUUGAUUUUCGUGGCUUGGUUUUGUAUUCAAGCGUUCGUGGAGGUUGAGGUGAAUCACCUUGUGGUUGAUUUCAACCAUUUCAACGAGAUUUACGAGUCGAAUGUGAGGUAUUCGUGAGGAAAUAGAAUUGAGGUUCUUGACACAGCCAUCAUGUGCCUCCUCGAGGCGUACACGGAGAAGUUCACACAGCUGAAUUGGGGAAACCUGAGAGGAAGGAGUUGGGAGGAGGUUGCGUUUGUGGUGAGCGAACGGUGCGAGAACCAAUCGAAGAGCGUGGAACAGUGUAAGAACAAGGUAGAUAACCUAAGAAAGAGGUACAAAUUGGAGUGAAAAAAAA